rnacentral:rRNA from 1 species
AGAUUGAACGCUGGCGGCAUGCCUAACACAUGCAAGUCGAACGGCAGCGCGGGUAGCAAUACCUGGCGGCGAGUGGCGGACGGGUGAGGAAUACAUAGGAAUCUACCCUGUCGUGGGGGAUAACGUAGGGAAACUUACGCUAAUACCGCAUACGACCGAGAGGUGAAGGCGGCGGACCGCAAGGCGUCGCGCGGCUGGAUGAGCCUAUGUCCGAUUAGCUAGUUGGCGGGGUAAGAGCCCACCAAGGCGACGAUCGGUAGCUGGUCUGAGAGGAUGAUCAGCCACACUGGGACUGAGACACGGCCCAGACUCCUACGGGAGCAGCAGUGGGGAAUAUUGGACAAGUGGGCGCAAGCCUGAUCCAGCAAUGCCGCGUGUGUGAAGAAGGCCUUGGUUAGUAAAGCUACUUUGUACGGAAGAAAAGGCCGUUAGGUUAACUACCGAUGGUGAUAGACGGUAACGUAAGAAUAAGCACCGGCUAACUUCGU